ACGCACGCUGGCGGCAGGCCUAACACAUGCCAGUCGAGCGGACCCUUCGGGGUUAGCGGCGGACGGGUGAGUAACGCGUGGGAAUAUGCCCUUCUCUACGGAAUAGUCCUGGGAAACUGGGGGUAAUACCGUAUACGCCCUUUGGGGGAAAGAUUUAUCGGGGAAGGAUUAGCCCGCGUUGGAUUAGGUAGUUGGUGGGGUAAUGGCCUACCAAGCCGACGAUCCAUAGCUGGUUUGAGAGGAUGAUCAGCCACACUGGGACUGAGACACGGCCCAGACUCCUACGGGAGGCAGCAGUGGGGAAUCUUAGACAAUGGGGGCAACCCUGAUCUAGCCAUGCCGCGUGAGUGAUGAAGGCCUUAGGGUUGUAAAGCUCUUUCAGCUGGGAAGAUAAUGACGGUACCAGCAGAAGAAGCCCCGGCUAACUCCGUG
rnacentral:rRNA from 1 species